ensembl:lncRNA
GUUUCGGACAGGUAAUGGCGGACAUGCGAUAGUUCGGGCUGACUUAUAUUCCAACAUAGGAAGUGUUAUAAACAGCUGAUCGGAUCGGCAAAGCCUGUUUCUGGAAUAUUGUGUUUUUGUUGCUGCAAGUCUGGAAUAUUAUGUUUUUGUUGCUGGAAGUGCUUUUUAUGCAAUUUUUUGCAAAGCUAUAUGUGGAAGAAAACCGUGACCUAGGGCAAGCUAAUGGAAUAAGAUAUGGCAGGAGUGACGCCCACUGUGGUCUUCUGCUGCUGCUUCAUCCGUUUUAAGGUUCAACUUGACACCCACGUGUGCUCUUCUGCAAACCUUGGCUGUAUCAGGAAGGAAGGAAGGAGGAAGAGGGAGUGCAAUAAACUGCAUCUGCUGCUACAGGCCCUGGACAAGCAAAGCAAGAGAGAGAGGGGGAGAGAGACAUGUAGUGUGAAGCACUGACCUGCAUAGUUUGGCCUCAGCUCAAGUUUAAACUACUUGCACACAGUAAUGGAAAUUUUGCCUAGAAGCUGGGCAUCCAAAUUCGUUUCUGUCCAGCAAUUAAACUGGUACAAAAGUCAUUUAUUGUUGCUAAAUGUCAAGUUCAUUUGGAGUUAAUAUUAAAAUCUUUGUCUUUUUAAAAUUGAUUUGUAUUAAACAAAGUAACUUUGUGACUUUGCUCACAGGAGCAAUGUUUAUGCUUAAGUUUCCUUAACAAAUGGGGCCUAAGGGUAUUUCACUCCCCACUGAGCUGCAGCGUUAAUGUCAGUGUGUGCAUCUGGGUGUAUAAUUGAAAAAUAAAUACAUAUAAAUUAAGGAUGCCAAAGUAACAACAUGGUAAUGCGAUGUAAAUGGAAAGCGAAAUAAAAGGAGCAAAAGACUG